UACGAAGGGGGCUAGCGUUGCUCGGAAUCACUGGGCGUAAAGCGCACGUAGGCGGGUCCUUAAGGCAGGGGUGAAAUCCCGGAGCUCAACUCCGGAACUGCCUUUGAUACUGGGGAUCUUGAGUCCGGAAGAGGUGAGUGGAACUCCGAGUGUAGAGGUGAAAUUCGUAGAUAUUCGGAAGAACACCAGUGGCGAAGGCGGCUCACUGGUCCGGUACUGACGCUGAGGUGCGAAAGCGUGGGGAGCGAACAGG
rnacentral:rRNA from 1 species